GACGAACGCUGGCGGCGUGCCUAAUACAUGCAAGUAGAACGCAGUUGCGAACGGGUGAGUAACGCGUAGGUAACUGCCUCAUAGCGGGGGAUAACUAUCGGAAACGAUAGCUAAUACCGCAUACUGUGAGAUGGACCUUCGUUGUCUUAGAUAGUUGGUGAGGUAAAGGCUCACCCAGGCGAAGAUACAUAGCCGACCCGAGAGGGGGAUCGGCGAAACUGGGACUGAGACACGGCCCGAACUCCUUCCGGAGGCAGCAAGAGGGAAUCUUCGGGAAUGGACGGAAGUCUGACCGGGCAACGCCGGGUGAGUGAAGAAGGUUUUCGGAUCGUAAAGCUCUGUUGUUAGAGGAGCGGUAUCUAACCAGAAAGGGACGGCUAACUACGUGCCAGCAGCGGCGGUAAUUC
rnacentral:rRNA from 1 species